rnacentral:rRNA from 1 species
CAGUAGCCGCGGUAAUGCGAAGGGGGCUAGCGUUGUUCGGAUUUACUGGGCGUAAAGCGCACGUAGGCGGAUCGAUCAGUCAGGGGUGAAAUCCCAGAGCUCAACUCUGGAACUGCCUUCGAUACUGUCGAUCUGGAGUAUGGAAGAGGUGAGUGGAAUUCCGAGUGUAGAGGUGAAAUUCGUAGAUAUUCGGAGGAACACCAGUGGCGAAGGCGGCUCACUGGUCCAUUACUGACGCUGAGGUGCGAAAGCGUGGGGAGCAAACAGGAUUAGAUACCCCCGUAGUCCCUGUCUCUUAUAC